rnacentral:rRNA from 1 species
AUUGAACGCUGGCGGCAUGCUUUACACAUGCAAGUCGAACGGCAGCACGGGUGCUUGCACCUGGUGGCGAGUGGCGGACGGGUGAGUAAUACAUCGGAACGUAUCCAGAAGAGGGGGAUAACGCAUCGAAAGAUGUGCUAAUACCGCAUAUUCUCUGAGGAGGAAAGCAGGGGAUCGAAAGACCUUGCGCUUUGGGAGCGGCCGAUGUCUGAUUAGCUAGUUGGUGGGGUAAUGGCUCACCAAGGCGACGAUCAGUAGCGGGUCUGAGAGGAUGAUCCGCCACACUGGGACUGAGACACGGCCCAGACUCCUACGGGAGGCUG